AGCGAGCUUGCCUAGAUGAAUUUGGUGCUUGCACCAAAUGAAACUAGAUACAAGCGAGCGGCGGACGGGUGAGUAACACGUGGGUAACCUGCCCAAGAGACUGGGAUAACACCUGGAAACAGAUGCUAAUACCGGAUAACAACACUAGACGCAUGUCUAGAGUUUAAAAGAUGGUUCUGCUAUCACUCUUGGAUGGACCUGCGGUGCAUUAGCUAGUUGGUAAGGUAACGGCUUACCAAGGCAAUGAUGCAUAGCCGAGUUGAGAGACUGAUCGGCCACAUUGGGACUGAGACACGGCCCAAACUCCUACGGGAGGCAGCAGUAGGGAAUCUUCCACAAUGGACGCAAGUCUGAUGGAGCAACGCCGCGUGAGUGAAGAAGGGUUUCGGCUCGUAAAGCUCUGUUGGUAGUGAAGAAAGAUAGAGGUAGUAACUGGCCUUUAUUUGACGGUAAUUACUUAGAAAGUCACGGCUAACUACGUGCCAGCAGCCGCGGUAAUACGUAGGUGGCAAGCGUUGUCCGGAUUUAUUGGGCGUAAAGCGAGUGCAGGCGGUUCAAUAAGUCUGAUGUGAAAGCCUUCGGCUCAACCGGAGAAUUGCAUCAGAAACUGUUGAACUUGAGUGCAGAAGAGGAGAGUGGAACUCCAUGUGUAGCGGUGGAAUGCGUAGAUAUAUGGAAGAACACCAGUGGCGAAGGCGGCUCUCUGGUCUGCAACUGACGCUGAGGC
rnacentral:rRNA from 1 species